AGAGUUCGUAUCCUCGGCUCAGGACGAACGCUGGCGGCGUGCCUAAUACAUGCAAGUCGAGCGGAACGACUUGGAGCUUGCUCCAAGCGUUUAGCGGCGGACGGGUGGAGUAACACGUGGGCAACCUGCCCUGCAGAUCCGGGAUAACUCCGGGAAACCGGUAGCUAAUACCGAAUAGUUUGGAACCUCUCCUGAGGUUCCACGGAAAGACGGUUUCGGCUGUCACUGCAGGAUGGGCCCGCGGCGCAUUAGCUAGUUGGUGGGGUAAUGGCCCACCAAGGCGACGAUGCGUAGCCGACCUGAGAGGGUGAUCGGCCACACUGGGACUGAGACACGGCCCAGACUCCUACGGGAGGCAGCAGUAGGGAAUCUUCCGCAAUGGACGCAAGUCUGACGGAGCAACGCCCGCGUGAGUGACGAAGGUUUUCGGAUCGUAAAACUCUGUUGUGAGGGAAGAACAAGUACCAACUAACUACUGGUACCUUGACGGUACCUCACCAGAAAGCCACGGCUAACUACGUG
rnacentral:rRNA from 1 species